rnacentral:lncRNA from 1 species
CCUAUUUGUAAAUAAGUUUUUACAAGUCUAUAUGCAUGGGGCCAGUGCUACUACAAUGGAAGUAACAAUUUAGUUUGAAGACAGGUCGAAUAUAUGCAAUAUAUAGAUUUUAAAUUCCUUCAGUGCUGCACACACCACACCAAAAUUAUAUAUUUGAUAAUUGAUGACGUACUUCCAAAACUAUUUGCGCACGGGGAGGCAAUAGAAGCAUUGGAACGAGAGGACAGGACACCAUGGUUACAGUUCGUCUGCCACUUUUCUAAUGCGGUAGCUAGUUUGAGAGGAUUACGGAGCUCGUGAAUGCUUUUCAUAAAUAACGGGAACAUUAACUAAAGAUACAACUUCAAGAAAAACAUUUGGCAGAGAUAACAGCUGUGAGUCUUUCUGAGUUACUGUCCUGCUGAAAUGGGAAUUCAUCUUCCAGUGUCUGGUGGAAAGCAGACUGAACCAGGUUUUCCUCUAGGAUUUUGCCUGUGCUUAGCUCCAUUCCGUUAAUUUUUUAUCCUGAAAAACUCCCCAGUCCUUAACAAUUACAAGCAUACCUAUAACAUGAUGCAGCCACGACUAUGCUUGAAAAUAUGGAGAGUGGUACUCAGUAAUGUGUUGUAUUGGAUUUGCCCCAGACAUUUUAUAAAGGAAAAAAAGUGUAUUGCUUUGCCACAUGUUUUACAUGAAUACUUUAGUGCCUUGUUGCAAACAGGAUGCAUGUUUUGGAAUAUUUUUAUUCUGUACAGGCUUCCUUCUUUUCAUUCAGUCAAUUAGGUUAAUGUUGUGGAGUAACUCCAAUGUUGUUGAUCCAUUGUCAGUUUUCUCCUAUCACAGCCAUUAAACUCUGUAACUGUUUUAAAGUCACCAUUGGUCUCAUGGUGAAAUCCCUGAGCAGUUUCCUUCCUCUCCGACAACUGAAUAAGGAAGGACGCCUGUAUCUUUGUAGUGACUGGGUGUAUUGUUACACCAUCCAAAGUGUAAUUAAUAACUUUACCAUGCUAAAAGGGAUUAUUUUUAACCAUCUACCAAUCGGUUUCCUUCUUUGCAAGGCAUUGGAAAACCUUCCAGGUCUUUGUGGUUGAAUCUGUGUUUGAAAUUCAAUGCUCGACUGAGGGACCUUACAGAUAAUUGUCUGUGUGGGGUACAGAGAUGAGGUAGUCAUUCAAAAAUCAUGCUACACACUAUUACUGGACACAGUGAGACCAUGCAACUUAUUAUGUGACUUAAGAACACAAUUACU